GAUGAACGCUAGCGGGAGGCUUAACACAUGCAAGUCGAGGGGUAAAUGGUAGCAAUACUAUGAGACCGGCGAACGGGUGCGUAACGCGUAUGCAACUUACCUUAUGCAGGGGGAUAGCCCGUGGAAACGCGGAUUAAUAUCCCAUAGAUCAGUAAUAUCGCAUGGUAUAACUGGUAAAACUCAGGUGGCAUAAGAUGGGCAUGCGUCUGAUUAGCUAGUUGGUAGGGUAACGGCCUACCAAGGCGACGAUCAGUAGGGGUUCUGAGAGGAUUAACCCCCACACUGGUACUGAGACACGGACCAGACUCCUACGGGAGGCAGCAGUGAGGAAUAUUGGUCAAUGGGCGCAAGCCUGAACCAGCCAUCCCGCGUGAAGGAAGAAGGCCCUACGGGUUGUAAACUUCUUUUCUGUUUGAAGAAUAAGCUCGUCGAGACGAGUGAUGCCGGUAGGACAGGAAUAAGCAUCGGCUAACUCCGUGCCAGCAGCCGCGGUAAACUA
rnacentral:rRNA from 1 species